rnacentral:rRNA from 1 species
UUAAGCGACUAAGCGUACACGGUGGAUGCCCUGGCAGUCAGAGGCGAUGAAGGACGUGCUAAUCUGCGAUAAGCGUCGGUAAGGUGAUAUGAACCGUUAUAACCGGCGAUUUCCGAAUGGGGAAACCCAGUGUGAUUCGUCACACUAUCAUUAACUGAAUCCAUAGGUUAAUGAGGCGAACCGGGGGAACUGAAACAUCUAAGUACCCCGAGGAAAAGAAAUCAACCGAGAUUCCCCCAGUAGCGGCGAGCGAACGGGGAGCAGCCCAGAGCCUGAAUCAGUGUGUGUGUUAGUGGAAGCGUCUGGAAAGGCGCGCGAUACAGGGUGACAGCCCCGUACACAAAAAUGCACAUGCUGUGAGCUCGAUGAGUAGGGCGGGACACGUGGUAUCCUGUCUGAAUAUGGGGGGACCAUCCUCCAAGGCUAAAUACUCCUGACUGACCGAUAGUGAACCAGUACCGUGAGGGAAAGGCGAAAAGAACCCCGGCGAGGGGAGUGAAAAAGAACCUGAAACCGUGUACGUACAAGCAGUGGGAGCACGCUUAGGCGUGUGACUGCGUACCUUUUGUAUAAUGGGUCAGCGACUUAUAUUCUGUAGCAAGGUUAACCGAAUAGGGGAGCCGAAGGGAAACCGAGUCUUAACUGGGCGUUAAGUUGCAGGGUAUAGACCCGAAACCCGGUGAUCUAGCCAUGGGCAGGUUGAAGGUUGGGUAACACUAACUGGAGGACCGAACCGACUAAUGUUGAAAAAUUAGCGGAUGACUUGUGGCUGGGGGUGAAAGGCCAAUCAAACCGGGAGAUAGCUGGUUCUCCCCGAAAGCUAUUUAGGUAGCGCCUCGUGAAUUCAUCUCCGGGGGUAGAGCACUGUUUCGGCAAGGGGGUCAUCCCGACUUACCAACCCGAUGCAAACUGCGAAUACCGGAGAAUGUUAUCACGGGAGACACACGGCGGGUGCUAACGUCCGUCGUGAAGAGGGAAACAACCCAGACCGCCAGCUAAGGUCCCAAAGUCAUGGUUAAGUGGGAAACGAUGUGGGAAGGCCCAGACAGCCAGGAUGUUGGCUUAGAAGCAGCCAUCAUUUAAAGAAAGCGUAAUAGCUCACUGGUCGAGUCGGCCUGCGCGGAAGAUGUAACGGGGCUAAACCAUGCACCGAAGCUGCGGCAGCGACGCUUAUGCGUUGUUGGGUAGGGGAGCGUUCUGUAAGCCUGUGAAGGUGUGCUGUGAGGCAUGCUGGAGGUAUCAGAAGUGCGAAUGCUGACAUAAGUAACGAUAAAGCGGGUGAAAAGCCCGCUCGCCGGAAGACCAAGGGUUCCUGUCCAACGUUAAUCGGGGCAGGGUGAGUCGACCCCUAAGGCGAGGCCGAAAGGCGUAGUCGAUGGGAAACAGGUUAAUAUUCCUGUACUUGGUGUUACUGCGAAGGGGGGACGGAGAAGGCUAUGUUGGCCGGGCGACGGUUGUCCCGGUUUAAGCGUGUAGGCUGGUUUUCCAGGCAAAUCCGGAAAAUCAAGGCUGAGGCGUGAUGACGAGGCACUACGGUGCUGAAGCAACAAAUGCCCUGCUUCCAGGAAAAGCCUCUAAGCAUCAGGUAACAUCAAAUCGUACCCCAAACCGACACAGGUGGUCAGGUAGAGAAUACCAAGGCGCUUGAGAGAACUCGGGUGAAGGAACUAGGCAAAAUGGUGCCGUAACUUCGGGAGAAGGCACGCUGAUACGUAGGUGAAGUCCCUCGCGGAUGGAGCUGAAAUCAGUCGAAGAUACCAGCUGGCUGCAACUGUUUAUUAAAAACACAGCACUGUGCAAACACGAAAGUGGACGUAUACGGUGUGACGCCUGCCCGGUGCCGGAAGGUUAAUUGAUGGGGUUAGCGCAAGCGAAGCUCUUGAUCGAAGCCCCGGUAAACGGCGGCCGUAACUAUAACGGUCCUAAGGUAGCGAAAUUCCUUGUCGGGUAAGUUCCGACCUGCACGAAUGGCGUAAUGAUGGCCAGGCUGUCUCCACCCGAGACUCAGUGAAAUUGAACUCGCUGUGAAGAUGCAGUGUACCCGCGGCAAGACGGAAAGACCCCGUGAACCUUUACUAUAGCUUGACACUGAACAUUGAGCCUUGAUGUGUAGGAUAGGUGGGAGGCUUUGAAGUGUGGACGCCAGUCUGCAUGGAGCCGACCUUGAAAUACCACCCUUUAAUGUUUGAUGUUCUAACGUUGACCCGUGAUCCGGGUUGCGGACAGUGUCUGGUGGGUAGUUUGACUGGGGCGGUCUCCUCCUAAAGAGUAACGGAGGAGCACGAAGGUUGGCUAAUCCUGGUCGGACAUCAGGAGGUUAGUGCAAUGGCAUAAGCCAGCUUGACUGCGAGCGUGACGGCGCGAGCAGGUGCGAAAGCAGGUCAUAGUGAUCCGGUGGUUCUGAAUGGAAGGGCCAUCGCUCAACGGAUAAAAGGUACUCCGGGGAUAACAGGCUGAUACCGCCCAAGAGUUCAUAUCGACGGCGGUGUUUGGCACCUCGAUGUCGGCUCAUCACAUCCUGGGGCUGAAGUAGGUCCCAAGGGUAUGGCUGUUCGCCAUUUAAAGUGGUACGCGAGCUGGGUUUAGAACGUCGUGAGACAGUUCGGUCCCUAUCUGCCGUGGGCGCUGGAGAACUGAGGGGGGCUGCUCCUAGUACGAGAGGACCGGAGUGGACGCAUCACUGGUGUUCGGGUUGUCAUGCCAAUGGCACUGCCCGGUAGCUAAAUGCGGAAGAGAUAAGUGCUGAAAGCAUCUAAGCACGAAACUUGCCCCGAGAUGAGUUCUCCCUGACCCUUUAAGGGUCCUGAAGGAACGUUGAAGACGACGACGUUGAUAGGCCGGGUGUGUAAGCGCAGCGAUGCGUUGAGCUAACCGGUACUAAUGAACCGUGAGGCUUAACCUU